GAUCCACAUAAUUGCCGUGACCUUAAGGAACACCUGCCAGUCUGGGCCGCUAGGGUGCACCCCACAUACGUCUCCGGACUUUCCCGCCCAUGGAGCCUUGGGCGUGGAGUUCAUAGUAUCCGGAGGAACUCGGAGACGUUAGGAACGCUGAAGCUGAGUGACAAAGUCUGCCCGAGCCUUUUUUUGCCUGCGCCGACCCGGAAACUGGGUAUCCGAAGGAACACGCUGAAGGCUACGCACGUCCGGAAACCGAUACCGAGUGGUUUUCCCCAGGCCGGUGGGUGGGUAGGCGAGCAGCCCCGAGUGGGUGGAACAGCCCCUCUGGCAGGUGUGCACUAUAGGUGGGGACCAUGGUGUGUGCGCCUGGAUUGCAACACCCUGGAGACCUGACCAGUCCCACCCGACUUAGUGCAGAUGGAGAAGCAGACUUGUAGAGAGGCAGCCUUUUCGGGGUCAUUAUUAAUAAUGCCCAUGCGGAGCUGGGCAGCAGGCUGUGCCCCAUACUUAAAUCUUUGGUUACUCCAGGGGCAGCGCAUAGGUGGAGAGUUGCCUCUAGUGCGGCAGACCCAGAUUCCUGUCCUGCUCAGGACACAGUUCCUAGCUGGGUGACGUUGGGAAGGUUGCUUUUGCUUCCCUUCCUGGAGCCUGCUUGUCUUUGAGGAUGUAGCAAUUAGAAGGUGCUCGGUAAAAGCAAGUUUGGACCUUAUUCUGUCUGAAAGUAAAGGGACCGCUGAUUUAAGCCCUCAGCUAAACUUGUUUGUGAACAUUUAAAUAUAAAAUUUUCAAUUUUUUUACCUAGCUAUUUAUGCUAACAUCUGGGAUUAUGGGUUAAAUUAGAGGGAAACUUUCGGUUCAAUGACAGGAAGUACCAAAUGUCACAAGCAAAUCUCCUAAACCAGGCAGGCAGUCUCCCACUUAUAACAUUAGUUAAAGCUUGUAACAUGGAGCCCUUGCUGUGUGAUAAGCUGGUGCAGGUUCUUGACAUUCAUGGACGAGUGCACUUCUCACUGUGGGGUUAUUUCUCCCACUUUAUGGAUGAGGAAACUGAAAAUCAGAAAUAAUGACUUGCCCAAGGUCACACAUGCUAGGAGAAGACACAGAUCUGUCCUACCUCCAAACCCAUUUUGUGACCCACCACUAGCCUAUUUAUUAGCAGGGACAGCUACUGGUUCAGCUCACUUCACCUGAAAAUGUGAAGAGAACAACUGUCUAAGACAAGAAGAGUCUAAUAGGUGGUACCCACAUCUGAGGACCAGAACCAUUUUGGGGAGCCAAAGCCAGUGACUUCUCUACUUCCCUCUCCUAGCACCUACCUCACCUGACAUUUUAAGGAAGACUUGGAAACUGGGAGCACUCCAGGCAGCUUUUCCCCAAGCCAUGAAGCUUUGGGCCCGAAUGCUAUGGGCCCUCCUUUCUGGCCCUGGGGGAAGGAGGGGAGGCAUCCCAUGCUUGGCCUUCAGCUCCUGGCAGUCCCACCCACCUCUGGCUGGGCUGUUGAGUCCCAUAGGGUUGGUCAGCCACUGGACAAGGGUGUUUGAGAAGAGAGGCAUUCCAGAAGCCAGAGAAUCCAGUGAAUACAUCGUGGCCCAUGUCCUCGGAGCCAAAACAUUUCAGAACCUGAAGCCAGUACUUUGGACACAGCCCCUGACUCCUCAGCAACUGCAGUGUAUCCAGGUUCUGUGUAGCCGCCGAUUGCAGAGGGUACCUGUGCAGUACAUCCUUGGGGAGUGGGACUUUCGGGGGCUUAGUCUGAAGAUGGUGCCCCCAGUAUUCAUUCCUCGGCCAGAAACAGAGGAACUUGUUGAAUGGGUACUAGAGGAGGUGGCCCAGAGGCCCAAUGUGGUAGAAGCCCAAGGUGGUCCCCUCAUUCUGGAGGUGGGCUGUGGAUCAGGAGCCAUCUCCCUCAGCCUACUGAGCCAACUCCCUCAGAGCCAAGUCAUUGCUGUGGAUAAAGAGGAAGCUGCCAUCAAUCUGACCUAUGAGAAUGCUCAGAGGCUUCGGUUGCAGAACAGGAUUCAGAUCAUCCCCUUUGAUGUGACCUCAGUGGGGAGCUGGACACACCUUUUGCCCUGGAGCCCCAUGGACCUGAUCGUCAGCAACCCUCCCUAUGUCUUCCACCAUGACAUGGAGCAGCUGGCCCCAGAGAUCCGAAGUUAUGAAGACCCAGUGGCCCUGGAUGGUGGGGAAGAAGGCAUGGACAUCAUUACCCGUAUCCUGACCCUGGCACCCCAAUUCCUGAAGGACUCUGGAAGCAUCUUUUUGGAAGUAGAACCGAGGCACCCAGAGCUCGUCAGCAACUGGCUUCAGAGUCAUCCUGACCUGUGCCUCAAUCUUGUGGCUAUACGCAGGGACUUCUGUGGGAGAGUACUACAAACCUCAGAGCCUGUGCUCCAGUUGAUGUGUCCACAGAUACUUCUUGCUACAAUGGAAAACACAGAAAGUACUCUUGGGACUCGUGUCUACAUGGGCUCAUGGUGAAGGGAGAGCUGGAGGGGAGGGAUGACUCCAAGGAGAUGACCCCAAGGAGAAGUAAAAUCAAGUCUAUAAUCUACUCCUUAUGAUGAUCCUGUAAGCCCUACUUCACAGCUGCUCCUCAGACACUUACCCAGCCUUCAGCCCUAAGACUGACUUCUGGAGGAUGAUCUGCCACCUUCUUUGUGACAUGGAGGUGAAUGGGCACCAGGCUUGGAGCUGUGCUCAGGGAAAACCAAAGAGUAACCCCAGGAUGUGAAUGGAGAGGCAAGUCCCUGCUCACACCUCCAUCUAGCCCUGGUCAUGUGAUGUUCUCCAUUCUGAAGGCAAACAGUAAAAAGUCUGCCCCAUAGCCAAGUAGUGAAAAGUCUGCCCCAUAGCAUCCCAUUCAGAGAGAGGGCCUUUACUUCCCCUUUUUGCUGACCAUGACCUGCAACUCCAUCCCCUUGAACUAGGCUUUAAGGCCCUUGCUCUGACAGUGCUGACCCUGAUAUUUUUCCUGUACCCCAACCCAUCCUGGGGCACGCAUGCCACGACCUUCCCCAGAGCCAGGCCUGGCAUCAGUACCCACCUACUUGCAGCCUCUUCUCUCUACCCUCCAAGUGGGGAAACCAAGACUCCAAUAGCAUGGUCACAUUCUCAGGGAUGCACAGUUGGAUACUGGUACCAGGAGAACUCUGGGUGGCUUGGUGAUAGAGCUGGAGCUUAUACCCCCUGUGGUGGGACAGGGAUCUAAGAGAAAGAAUAAGAAUGGCCUGAAGGAGGGACUGGAACAUGAGGCUAUUUGCCCCCUAGCACAAGGGGAUUAGUGAGUAGGCCGUGGCACUGCUGUCCCUGCCUUGCUUUUCUGCCUACUCUCCUCUGGCUCCUCUCACCUCCACCUGCUCAGCAACCAGGGCAGUACACUUGUACUUGACAUCCCCCUUUCACCUGUGUGCCCACACCCACACAUUGACCUUUACAGGCACAUAUACCUUCUUUUUCCCCUACCCAUUUCCAUUUCUAGGUUUUCCACUCUGUUCUAGGCUGAACACUGAGUACUACAGAGGCCCAAAAGAACUGACUCUUCCUGGAAGGGCCUUAGAGUGGCCCAGCAGCCCCAGCACUGGGAAGGGGGAAGCUAAGGAGGUACUUGCAAUCAUGAAGGGCUUCCUGGAGGUGAGGUCCCAAGUUGAAGUCUCAGCACCCUAUCCCUCCCUCACCCCACCCUAGAUCACUGCUUGUCUUUUGAGCUCUCUCCCUGGAAUAGUCAGCAGGUUCCAGGAAGCAUCCCCUCACCCUGCAGUAGUGGUUCCAAGAACUGCAGCUCCUGGCAGCAUUUGCUUGGGAUUCUUUCCUAGAACCCAUGCUUUAGCCCUCCCAAUCUGUGGGGGGUCUCAUAGGGCAGUCAGAGGGGCAUAAGGGAGGGCUCUGUCGGGAAGACAUUCCAUGGGCUAGACACUGGGAGGUGGGUCCAGGCUGUCAGCCAGGAGGGGGUAGCUACACUGAGGUGGGGACAGGAGGUUAAUGAAGUGAAGCUGCCUUGACUCCCAGUCAGUCAUGGAGGGCAGGCCCAUGAGUUCUCUCUCUACAUAAAGGAAGCUUGCUCCCUAGGCCCAGAACUUCUGCCAGCUUGCUAUACUCCACCCUUCACCCUCCACUUCACCACCCCACUAGCCUGAUACCCAGCUUCCUAUCCCCUAGAGAAUUGGCCCAGGGCUUAUCCUGGUCUCAGAGUAAACCUUCAUCAGAUAACCUUCAGAGAGAUAGGACAGGGGACAGUCGUGGCAGGUUUUGAACAAGGAAAAAAGAUGGGACAUUCAGUCUUAGGGCCCUUGGAAGGACAUGACACCUGUAUUAUUAAUCCUAUUAUAGUUUCACCUUGCCGGCUUAAAGCUGAACAAAUCAUCAGACCCCAUACCCCUUAGCAAGGUGGGCUGGGUGAGUGGGAUUAGGGAUUGACAGGCCUUGAUGAGUGGGCAAGGACAGGGCCCAAAUUUCCUCAAGGUCACUGGGCCUCCCCUCUGGGGUGUGUCCUCCACCCCCACCACCUCUGAGCUGGCACCAGGCCCGCCUACCCGCCUGGGACCUGCCAGAUCACGUUGAGCAACCAGUUCCUGAGAAGCGUUGAAGGCUGUUUGGUUUAAAAUUAACUCCCCCUCCACCCCCUCCCGCCCUCCUCUGAGUUCUUGGAAGAGGCGCUCUGCUCUUCCUGGGAAGAGGCCUCCAGCCACAGCUGCUGCAAUUCUGGCGAAAACACCUCACCCAGAGUGGGGGCAGGAGUGCCCACACCAGGACUUCUCUGCCUUGCACAAGGCACCCCCAGGUUACCUGCUGAGAUCCAGAAGAGAAAAGGGGUGAUUGUCAAGGUGCUGGGAGUGGGUGCUAUUGCCUUUAAAGCCCACAGCUCCCAACCAGACACUGGCUAUAUCCUAGUGAAGAGGUACAGGGGCUAUGGAGACCCAGCCUAGGCACCUCUGCAGCAGGAGAGAGAGCAAACUGAUCUCACAGACAGCAAACCCAUGGCCUGGGCUAUAUAUGGCUCAGAGAGAUAAAGCAAUCUGCCCAGGAUCACCUAGCUUUGUCUGCCUAAGCUUAGCCUGCCCUCUAGACGUCUGGCUGACGACACUGAUCUGGCAGACGACACUGAUCUGGCAGAGAUGCCCAGGAACACACCCUACAGGCACCUGAGCACCAGGGCUAGUGAGCUCUGCUGAAGAGGUCCCUUAUUGUAGCUCACCCACUCUUCUCAGACUGUCAUAUCCUUCUGGAUAAGCCUUCAUUUCCCUGUGUCUCUUUGAGUUCCAUGUCUGAGCUUUGAGGAGAAAGUCUCCUGAGGACUUACACUCCUGGCAGCUCCUCCUACCACAGCUGUUUGUCCACCGGAAAGAGCUGAGGAAAAUAAAGGAAUGUUGGCCAAGUGGAAAGGUCAACACACACACACACACACACACACACACACACACACACACACACACACACGAUGUGCUCAGAGGCUGAUGGAGGUGGGGAGCAGUAAAGUGCUUCCCUGGAGCAGACUGAGAGGCACUUUUAUGAACACCACUUUUGCCUAACCUAGACUAUGAGUGAAAUCCAUACUUCUGGUGGAGAAGCGCCCAGUUCUGGUGACAGGAAGAGUUGGAUCUGGCUCAUAGGUGCUGGGAGUGGGGAGAGUCCCUGGAGUAGGUUUUGGCCUCUAAAGAACAUUUUCUGGAUACCAUAUCCUCUUCAGUCAUAACAUCAGGGCAUAUUUGGUGCCUGCACAUUCACUGGUACUGGGACUGUAGUUAGUGUAGUCUUGGAGGACUCCUUGGAGGAGUCAUGGUAGCCCCAACUUUCCUCAACUUUCAGAGGCUCCCUCCUGUGCUUUGAUCCUCAGCUGCUUCAAUCAGGCCUGGGUCAUGGAAACAACUGUUUCCACUGAGUAGACAGCUUUGGCCUCCUACUGUGCUGUGCUUGCUGAGUCUCCUUGAGCUUAUCAAUGAGUAUCAGCUUCCAUUUAUUCUACAUAACAGUAAAGCUAGCUAGGCCCAGCAGCUCUUCCAAUUACCCUCUGAUCUGCAGUCUGGCCAGAUUUAAACCUCCAGGGAAUUUUGAGUCUCAGACAUGGGAAUCCUAGCCUAUUGCCCUGAGAUCAUUGCAGCACCAGGGCAAUGGUUGUGCAGCUCCACUGGGUCAGGAAGGGGUGGGGAGACUGUUGAAUUUCUGGUGAAGCUCAAGCCUGCUUUAGAUUAAAACUGGUCUAACAGGUUGAUGUGAAAGUGCUGUUGAGGCCUGCACAGGCUCAACUUCUCCUAGAGGAAAAAGAUAUUUAUGAGGUCCUCAGGGUUGGAUGCCCUAUGCACAGACCCCAAAUCUUCCCGCCUUCUUGGUCAGGCCUUAUUUUAGGUCCUGGCCCUCUGCUUCCUUCACUUCAGUGUGGACAGCCGUAUAAGGUGGGAGGGUUCCCAUCUGAGAGCAGAACCAGCCACAGCCACAGCCCCAGCCCCAUUUAGACAUGGGUCCAUCGUUGGCUUUUCAAGAUCUGCUCAGUCAACAGGUUAUCUGUGUUUAUAUAUUUUUUCUUUUUGUGACAGGCCUCGCUAUGUUGCCCAGGUUGAUCUUGAACUCCUGGGAUCAAGUGAUCUUUCCACCUUUCCAAGUAGUUGAGACUAUAGGCAUGGGCUACUGGGCCCAGCUUCAGUCAGCAGAUUAAAAGCCUGGCCUAGGAGCAGGGUCCCAGUCAUUCCAGGAAUGCUGGGUCACUCAGAGAUCCUGUUUAGCUGGCCAGAAUAUCACUAAUAUAUGCUGACAAGAAAUACCUGGAAUGUUUUACCAGCAUUUCUGUGUCAAAGUCAUUUCAGAGGGAGACUUGUGAAUCCAGGGAGAGAUGCUACACAGGAUCAAUCUCUAAACUCAACUUCUCCAGAAUCCAUCCCCCAGAUUCCCCACUUCCAGAAAGCCCUCCUGAGCAUCACCACCCCUCUAUAUACUCUCCAAAUCUUGGGAGUCUUGAAGAUUUAGCUAACCAGCCCUUAGGCAGAACAGAACAGUUACACACAAAAAGGUCUGGAGUUAGGAUAUGAAGCCUGGGUCUGCCUCUCAUUAGCAGUGUAACCCUGGGCAAGAUAACACUCCUCUCUGAACUUUACCUCUUCAACUAUAAAUGGGAGUAAUCUCUGCUGGUAUGCAGAGUUGUAGUGAGAAUUUAAUGGGAUAUGAACACUGCCCAGGGUCACAAAAAUUGCCACCCUCACUUACUCCUUAUUCCCAUUAUACCUUACCUAUCCAAGUCUCAUACUUCUUAACCUUCUUUCUGGCCUCUUGCUUCUAGGCCCUUAUGGAUCCAUCCCCACCUAACUGACAGAUGCAUCUCUUAGAAAUGAGCACUGCAGGGGACUGCUCCCUGCUAGAUUCUCAAGAGGUGCUCUACCACACUAUAAUAAAAUCACAUGCCUCCUCUGUCCUUCCUACCCCAUUCUGAGCUUCAGGUUUGUUUCUGCCUCAGAGCCAUUGCACUGAUGUUGCCUUCUUGUGACAUCCCUUCCCCAACCUGUCUGGAUGAUGCCUGCUCUUUGCUCAGGCAUCCAGGUUUGCUUCCACCUUGCUCAAUGCUUUCCCUGACCCUCUUAGUAGGGUGUUCCCAAACUCGAUGUUACUUCUGCCCUGUCCCCUGCUUUACUUUCUUUAUACUCUCAAAAACUUGUCCUGUGUGCCCAUUUGUUCAUUUGUUUACUACCUCUCUUGCACUAGCCAUGAGCCCCAUGAGUAUGGGGACCAUGUAGACAUGAUCUUGCUGUGUCCCCAGGGCCCAGAUGGAGGCUGGCCUAGUUGGUGCCAAGGAGUGCAUGUGCUGGUGAAGGACUUAAUAGGUAAAGGGUUAUAUCAGUUAUUGUUUGCAUAUUGUGCAGGGUCCUGUACACCCACCAGAUGGCUAAUCCCUUUCUCCCCAGCUAGUGUCAUUUUACUAGCUUGGGUCACCCAAGGUGAUUGUGUUGACCAGAAGAUUUCCUGCAUCUGUUAGGCUGGGUCUAGGGUCAAAUGAAAUGCCACCUACUGUCCCUGUUCCAGGCAGGCAUGGUGCACUCCCCUGGUAGGGAAACAAAAACAUCAAACCAGAAAAUGUUGGGAUUUGAAGUAGCUAACAGUGCCUUCCCAGGAGACGGUUGGACCCUAGCUUGAGCUGAGGUGAAGGGUAAGGCAGACAGUAUCCCCAUUGGCCAGGUCAACGAUUAUAGAACUCUCAGCAGACAAGGAGAUAGGGAUCAAAACCAGUGUCCAUCCCAGCUGCCUGUUCUCCCCAUUUCAUGUAGCAGUCCACAGGCAGAUGGACAGUUAGUAAAAGCUCUGCUCUGUGACCCACUUGCCUCAGCAAGCCCCCUUCCAACUAGGAAUCUCAGUUUACUCAUUUGGACCACCAUUCCCAGGGUUGUGGUGAAUCAUGGCUCAGUGUCUUUGUAGUCACUGCACCUUCUCCCUGCAAGGACUGGUCCUGAAUGCUGACUAUUGGAUCCUUCUCAAGUCACUGCCCUCAGGAAUAGGCCAUAGAACCCUCCCCACUGGUAUUAUCCAUCUGCAUUUUGAAUGAGCACUUCCUGUUUACAUACCUCUCAGGCCUCUGCUCCUGACACCCCCAGCCUUCUCCCUGCAACCCAGCAGUGCUCUGGUUAGUGAUCCUAUAGGCAGACCAAUGGGCCUUCACAUCCUGUUUCCCAUUUUCCAAGAGAAACAAGGAGGAAUGAGAUGAGAAAGACGGUUCUUCAUCUCUUCCACCCUGUUAGUGAGUGUCCCAGGAGAGACUGUUCACCACGAAAGAUCUCUGACUUCUGCUAGCCUGGAUGUGAAAUAGGAGAUCACGAUAACAGGACCAAAGAGGAAAAACUCUGAGCAGAACUCAAGAGGCCCCACUGAGGGCUCCAUAAAUGAAAGGCACCUUCCUAGGCAGGAAACCAAUGCAGCAGAGCUGCCGCAGCAGCCCUUGAACCAGCAUCCCCUUCCUGACACAGCAUGUACACUCUGAGGGCUUGUGCCACGGUGAAGGCAGCUAUGUGUGGCCACAAUUCUGUCUUGCAAGAAGGUGGGCCACAGGCUUUGUUGGGGACUGAGGCUCUUGUUCCAUUUUCUUGUCUAUUCACUCAUCCUCUCCAAACAGGGCUGGGACAGAAAAGAGUGGCCACAUUCACAGGCAGGUGGGUCAGUGCCAGACAUCCAGGAAUGCCUUGGGUCCAGCAAAACUUCUUAGGAUGGGGCUCUCCACAAAGAAGAAUCAGAGAAGCUAGAACAGAGCUGGGGUCUCUGGACUCCCAGGACUCAGGGCAGAGAGGUAGGGUGGCUCACUGGAGACCAACCCCAGGGGGAAUAAAUAAAUAAAUAGCAUAUAACUGUGCA